GAGAGAAAGGAACGAGGGAAGAAGUAGAAGAAAGUGGGGUUUUCUCGUUGGAAACGCGAGCGAGGGGAUGAUGGAUUCAUGGGAAUGCGCCAUCUAGACUCACUCACUUACUUAGCCAGCCAGUCCCGGCAUCUCUGGUGUUGUUGAUCGUGAAUUCACUUUCCAACUCUACUCGUCGUUUGCUUGUUCAUGUUGUGACUUAUAAAGGGCAGUAGACGACGCUCCGUUGCGGAAGGAAGGAAGGGAGAUAAGUUAGGGUUUCGCGGAGAGUGGAGAGUUUGGGGUGUGGAGGUGAGGCUGAGCGAGAUGUGUGGUGUUUGGAGAGGAGGUUAGUGUGAAUUUGUGGAGUUGGAGAAGAAGAAGUUCCUGGGUGUAUUUGUUUGGGAGAGGGUUUUUGGAUAUAUAUAUAUUUUGGGGGUUACGGUGUUCUUGAGUUGGGCAUCAUGGAUGCCUUUCGGAAGCAGUUGGAUGCCUUGAUGGGUGCGAACCGCAAUGGAGACGUGUUAGAGGUGAAGCGGAACUACUGGGACCGUGAUGUGUGUCGGCUUUAUCUUACUGGGCUUUGUCCUCAUGACCUCUUCCAACUCACGAAAAUGGACCUGGGUCCCUGCUCCAAGGUGCACUCUUUACAGCUGCGAAAGGAGUAUGAAGAGGCGAAGGCAAAUGGGAAAGACAAUUAUGACAGAGAUCUGGAAGAUUGUUUGGAGAAGCACAUAGUAGAGUGUGACCGCAAGAUUCAACGCGCUUUGAAACGUCUAGAAGAUGAUGACGCAGGUGCGGCCACUGCAAUUGCUGUGUCGGAAGUGACCAAGUCACCAGAAGCUUUGGAGUAUACCAAGCAAAUCAAAGAGAAGCUGAAGGCAGCAGAGUAUUUGGAUCUUGAGGGGCGAGGUGAUGACAAAAUUCGUAUUAUGGAAGUUGUUCAUGAGCUGCAAGCCAAGCGUGCAGAUAAACAGGCCAUGUCAUUACUUGAAGCUUUCAACAAAGAUAGAGCAUUGAUGCCACAGCCAUUGGCCAAUCCACCUCCUCUUGCCCCUCUACCUACACUGGUAACCUUGCCACCGGAUGCACGAACACAGGAGAUGAUUACGGAGAAACUGAAGAAAGCUGAAGAAUUGGGAGAACUAGGGAUGGUGGAUGAGGCACAAAAGGCCAUGGAGGAAGCUGAAGCUUUGAAGAAGCUGGGAGCAAGGCAAGAGGCGGUUACUGACCCCGCUAAGCUACUAGCUCCUGAAGUUCGCAUUGCUGAUCAGAAGUUAAGAGUGUGUGAUAUUUGCGGGGCAUUUUUGAGCAUCUAUGACAGUGACCGUCGCCUGGCGGACCAUUUUGGAGGGAAGCUACAUUUGGGUUACAUGCAGAUUCGGGAGAAGCUUGUUGACUUGCGAACUCAUGGACAAACUCACGUUGCACCAUUUGGCAGCUUCUUAAUCAGUAGGCAGCCUCGGUCAGUCAUCUUGUCUGCGGUUACCAUGUCCUACCAAUCAGCACCUGCGUCCAUUCACUUUUUGCUGAGCGAGCUGUCAGGAAAGCGGAGCCGCUAGACAAUGAAAAGCCGCGAGAGCCCAGUAAAACCCGCUCAAUGAGCAGAGACAGGGAGAAGGAAAGAGAUGCCGAUCGUGAGCGAGCUGAUCGAGAAAAGGAAAAAGAAGCAGAAAGAGAGCGUGAACGCGAUCGGGAGAGGGAACGUACUCGGGGUCGUGAAAGAGACCGAGGCCGUGACUCCCACAGUGGAAGAGGAAGGGACAGAGAUAGAGAACGCGAGCGUGAUCGUGGCAAGUCGAAUCGAGAUUAUGAUAGUCGAAGUCGGAGAAGAUCACGGUCGCGAUCAAGGGAACGUUCCAGAGAUAGAGACAGGAGUGAUCGGUACAGGCGACAUGACAGGUACGAUCGUUAUUGAGUUUUAUUUGCAAACAUGAGCGAUCAACAUGUUCCUGAAUAUCAUACGAUUUUGGAUGACAUAUCAUAGUAAACUGCCUGGUGGAUUUGGAGACGCAUUUUAAACUAGAAGCCUUACUCAGUUAAUCUCGUGACAACAAUUCGUUCAUAGCCCGGGCCCUCUAGGAUUUUGUGCCCUUUAAACCCUGUCAUCAUAGUCAGGCUUGCUCUGGUGACAUGUGGAGUGGAAUGGGAACUGGUGCAAGGGACAAAAUGUGUACUCAAGAAGUGGGGUAUAAGAUGUGGGUCACGUAGACUUGAUAUGUGGACAUGUGAGGAAAGUUAGCACAAUCCAAUGGAUAGACUUACCAGUACAUCGUGCGUACAAAUGUCUGUAAUGUAGGUCAUUUUAAAAUUACGCCUCAUAUCCAUGGUUUGCAUCUUUUGUGA